rnacentral:rRNA from 1 species
ACGAACGCUGGCGGCGUGCUUAACACAUGCAAGUCGAACGGAAAGGCCCUGCUUUUGUGGGGUGCUCGCGUGGCGAACGGGUGAGUAACACGUGAGUAACCUGCCCUUGACUUUGGGAUAACUUCAGGAAACUGGGGCUAAUACCGGAUAGGAGCUCCUGCUGCAUGGUGGGGGUUGGAAAGUUUCGGCGGUUGGGGAUGGACUCGCGGCUUAUCAGCUUGUUGGUGGGGUAGUGGCUUACCAAGGCUUUGACGGGUAGCCGGCCUGAGAGGGGGACCGGCCACAUUGGGACUGAGAUACGGCCCAGACUCCUACGGGAGGCAGCAGUGGGGAAUAUUGCACAAUGGGCGGAAGCCUGAUGCAGCAACGCCGCGUGCGGGAGGACGGCCUUCGGGUUGUAAACCGCUUUCGCCUGUGACGAAGCGUGAGUGACGGUAAUGGGUAAAGAAGCACCGGCUAACUACGU